UACGGAGGGUGCGAGCGUUGUCCGGAAUCACUGGGCGUAAAGGGCGCGUAGGCGGCCUGAUAAGUAGGGGGUGAAAUCCUGCGGCUUAACCGCAGGGCUGCCUUCUAAACUGUCAGGCUAGAGCACAGUAGAGGCAGGUGGAAUUCCCGGUGUAGCGGUGGAAUGCGUAGAGAUCGGGAAGAACAUCAGUGGCGAAGGCGGCCUGCUGGGCUGUUGCUGACGCUGAGGCGCGACAGGCGUGGGGAGCAAACAGG
rnacentral:rRNA from 1 species